ACAUAUAUAUCGAACACUUAUGUAUUCCUAGAUAUGAUAUCUAAAUAAUGUAUAAUUUUAUUUUAUUACUAAUUAUGUUAAAGGAAUACACAUGGAGACGUGAGAAACGUUUUAUUUUUAAGGAAAGAAUGUUAUAUCAUCUAGGAGUCAUAUAAUAUAAAUAAUCAACGACAGAUGGCGCGUCGAUAGAAGAAUUAGUUUCGAUCGUAAUAAAUCACAUUCGGUGAUGUUAUCCGUAGAAUAAUUCUUUUAUUUUAUCAAUUGUCGUUGAUCAUAGUUUCUUGAAGAUCUUCAAUUAGUGUUCAAUCAAAUAGAAAAAUAGAUAAAAUUCAAGGGACAAUACUGACGAAGAGAAUCAAUGUGUAUAUAUAUGUUUUUGUUUAUAUGCAUAAAGUGUUACGCGUUUUGUAACUUAGGUUAGCUUUGUUAUAAAGUAAGUGCAUACGUCCUGGUAUUACUACUCCUUCGUGCCAUACGUGACAAGGAAUACAGAAGAAUCAUUUGUAUGGUGAUCAAGAGCAACAUAUUUUCUCGAUUUAAUGACGCUUUGCUAGUAAUGGCUCUCAUCGAUAUAGAACAAAUCGUAUGUUGGAUACCAAAGAAGAUUCUUAAUCAUCAUCAUCAUCGUCAUCGUCAUUGUCAUCAUCAUCAUCAUCAUGAAAGAAACUCGAGAGUUACAUACUGUUGGCGCUCCCUUCGUCGUUCUCGAUACUGAUGCGGUCACUUGACAAAGACCGAAGAACGCGGGACAUGUUAGAACGGAAGGAGAGAAGGAGGGUUGAAAGAGGCACGUGCUUAGCGCCGGAUCGCAUCACGCCCGAGCUUCGUGGAUGGGGAUUAGAGGCAAUACUCCGGGGAUUUGGAAAAGGGAUGGAAAAUGGUACGUCGUCAGGCAGAAUUCCCAGUCGCGCGACCAAAAGUUUGAACGAUCGUGCAACAGUUGACGCACCCUCCUCGUCCAUUCUGGAAAUCCGCCCCUAUCGAUGUUGGAGGACGAGCUACGUUGGAGAACGCGCGUGCUAGAAAGAGAGGGAGGGAGAGAGGGACAGAGAGAGAGAGAGAGAGAGAGAGAGAAAGAGAGAGAGAUAUCGAUGAAGGCGUAAUACUAUGUCAGAUGGAAGGGUAUCGUCUACUUCGUUCAAGUUGCUCCAGCAAUGCGGCAGAAGAAGAAGCCGAACGAAAGGCGAACCAGAUUUCAUCGACGUAAUCGUCGUCGCUCUUUCAAAGGCGAGCCGUGAUUAAAACUAACCCCUUUGCUAGAAAAGCUCCAACGAUCGAUCGCGCCUUCUUAACACGAACACCCGGUAUAUGAGAACGCGUAUCGCGCGGUACGCAUUAAAGAGGACCGAGUCUUAAAGAGGAUAAAACCGAACGAUUAUUUCUAGCAAAGAAUAGUGUCUCGUAAAGAACACAAAGGGAAGAAAAUGAUAUGAAAGAAGAAGAAAAAGAAGAAGACGAAGAAGGAGAAGAAAAAGCGAAAGGCUCGCCUUUGGAAUGGAUCAACCAAACGCAUUUCUAUUCCACCCACGCGACGCCAAGACGCGGACGUCUGUUUUCGCUCGAUGUGGUUUCCGGAGCUGAACGUCUUUCCGCCUGCGAACUGCCCAAUCAAAAGAAGCGAAACGUUUUCCCUUGAUACGACUGAAUAGCCCUGACCGUUUUCGGGUUUCUCAUUAAGGAAGACCAUUUUUUUCAAGAUCAACAAAUAAAUUCUAUACGUGAAAAACGCAGAAGAAAGAUUUGUAUAGCCGGUAUUGUGUGGCCGGUAGUUAACUAUUGUCAAACAAAUUUUCAGUUUUUUUCCUUUCCAAGAGGAAUAGGAACGACCCGAUGGAUCCAUCGGGAUCGUCGUUGUAAGUUCCUAUGGGACGUUCCAUGGGAUCGAACGAUUCCGAACAUUGGCGAUUCGGUAUUCCUUGAAGGUUCGGGUUUCGCUCGAUGAGAUAAGGGAUGGUAUGAGGAAUGGUAAGGGACGUGUGUAAUUCGAUCAGACCCUUCGCUUGAACGGCACUUUCCAUUGUCGUUUGCAGGAUGAUAUGAAGAGGUAGGACGAAGAGGAUGUGCACGAGCACGAGCACGAGGAGGCGAAAGAGAAGGAGAAAAAUUGUGGGAGGUUGGAACAAAAUAAAGUGCGCUUGGGCUUUUUCAUGUUGUUCUCUUUCUGGUUGUCCGGAGUACGUGUCCAUGUAGAAGGACGAGCACACGUAACAUCGUUCAUUUUCAGGCACGGAAAAGCGGCAGCUCGUGCGUUCCCGUUGGCUACCAUGGAGGAGGGGAAAAAAUAGGAAAAAAGUGUCGACGAACGAGGGGCCACCGAAUUACGAAUGCAUAGAUCGUUGAAUAAAUAAUGAAAGGACAACGGAUACGUGAGUGUAUGCAUAGAUAUACGCACGCGCGUAAAUGGUUAACGUAUGCGUGCGUACGUGUAUGUACGUACACAUAUAUAUAUAUAUAUAUAUGUGUGUGUGUGUGUGUGUGUGUGUGUGUGUGUGUGUAUGUGUAUUUGUAUGUGUGCAUGGUUCGAUAGAUACGUUGGGACCGAUUGUUCCAACGAUCUCCAAUAUUUUUCACAUUUCUUAAAAUGAUCCAAUAUCUUAAAAUGAUCACGAUCUUUUAAUACAAGCGAUCACUAUUUAAUUCGCUUCUCU